GAACGCUGGCGGCAUGCCUUACACAUGCAAGUCGAACGGCAGCACGGGGGCAACCCUGGUGGCGAGUGGCGAACGGGUGAGUAAUAUAUCGGAACGUACCCUAGAGUGGGGGAUAACGUAGCGAAAGUUACGCUAAUACCGCAUACGAUCUAAGGAUGAAAGUGGGGGAUUCGCAAGAACCUCAUGCUCGUGGAGCGGCCGAUAUCUGAUUAGCUAAUUGGUAGGGUAAAAGCCUACCAAGGCAUCGAUCAGUAGCUGGUCUGAGAGGACGACCAGCCACACUGGAACUGAGACACGGUCCAGACUCCUACGGGAGGCAGCAGUGGGGAAUUUUGGAUAAUGGGCGAAAGCCUGAUCCAGCAAUGCCGCGUGAGUGAAGAAGGC
rnacentral:rRNA from 1 species